AACGAACGCUGGCGGCAGGCCUAACACAUGCAAGUCGAGCGAGGUAGCAAUACCUAGCGGCGGACGGGUGAGUAACGCGUGGGAACGUGCCCCUUGGUACGGAAUAGCCCCGGGAAACUGGGAGUAAUACCGUAUGAGCUCUACGGAGGAAAGAUUUAUCGCCAAGGGAUCGGCACGCGUUGGAUUAGGUAGUUGGUGGGGUAAUGGCCUACCAAGCCGAGGAUCCAUAGCUGGUUUGAGAAGAUGAUCAGCCACACUGGGACUGGGACACGGCCCAGGCGCCUACGGGAGGCAGCAGUGGGGAAUCUUAGACAAUGGGCGCAAGCCUGAUCUAGCCAUGCCGCGUGAGCGAUGAAGGCCUUAGGGUUGUAAAGCUCUUUCAGCUGGGAAGAUAAUGACUGUACCAGCAGAAGAAGCCCCGGCUAACUCCGUGCCAGCAGCCGCAGUAAGAC
rnacentral:rRNA from 1 species